UGCUGGUGGUUUCAUUAGUCAGAGUGACAAGUGCAACCCUGGUUCCCUGAGCACACAACGAUCACAUCUGAGAGCUGCCAUGUGUGGGCCGAGCCAGACACAGGCACCUGGUGACAUCUGGGCACACAAAGCACAGCCAGCACUGGCAGGAGAACCACACCUGAUCCAGCACCAAGGUAAAGUGAAUCUGCUGAAGUCACCAGCAGCACUUCAAGGAAGUGACAGAUGGAUAACAGCAGCAGCAGCCAAAGAGCAAGAGAAUUUCUUUUUAGCUGGAGUGUGCUGCUCCCAGAAAGUCACAGCAAUUUUAAUAGGUGUUGAUCAUUUAUUCAAGUUACAGAAUUUCUUCUCCAAGGGUGGAACUUGCUGGAGAAUCUUUAGAUGAUGGAAGAACAACUCCCCUGAGGAAGACUCAUGGAAGCUGAAGAAGGCAAGUCACUGUUGUACAGACUGUUUUAUGUGACUGUAGGAUAUUUUAGAGAUGGAGGAGGUAAAACCAACCAAAGAAAAAAAUAACUGGAAACCCCCAAACCCCAGUUUCCCCAAAUGUGGAUUUAUUCCACUGCACUCAAAAGACACAAUUUCUAAUUUAGAAAUUCCAGGGUACAAGGCUGCAGUAGUUAGUAAAGCCCUGCAAUUUUAAUUGUUUGAGGAGUAUGUAUGAUGAAAAAAACAUCAUGUGGUU